GACGAACGCUGGCGGCGUGCCUAACACAUGCAAGUCGAACGGAAAGACCCUGCUUUUGUGGGGUGCUCGAGUGCCGAACGGGUGAGUAACACGUGAGUAACCUGCCCUUGACUUUGGGAUAACUUCAGGAAACUGGGGCUACUACCGGAUAGGAGCUCCUGCUGCAUGGUGGGGGUUGGAAAGUUUCGGCGGUUGGGGAUGGACUCGCGGCUUAUCAGCUGGUUGGUGGGGUAGUGGCUGACCAAGGCUUUGACGGGUAGCCGGCCUGAGAGGGUGACCGGCCACAUUGGGACUGAGAUACGGCCCAGACUCCUACGGGAGGCAGCAGUGGGGAAUAUUGCACAAUGGGCGGAAGCCUGAUGCAGCAACGCCGCGUGCGGGAUGACGGCCUUCGGGUUGUAAACCGCUUUCGCCUGUGACGAAGCGUGAGUGACGGUAAUGGGUAAAGAAGCACCGGCUAACUACGUG
rnacentral:rRNA from 1 species